rnacentral:rRNA from 1 species
AAGCAGAGAUUUUCCCUCGUACCUUUUGCAUCAUGAUUUAGCUAGAAAAAUCCAAGCAAAGAGCACUUUAGUUUGGCUCCCCGAAACUAAGUGAGCUACUCCAAGACAGCCUAUUAAUAGGGCAAACCCGUCUCUGUGGCAAAAGAGUGGGAAGAGCUUUGAGUAGAGGUGACAGACCUACCGAACCUAGUUAUAGCUGGUUGCCUGAGAAUUGGAUAGAAGUUCAGCCUCCCGGCUUCUCCCCUCACUUCACGUGUUACCCCCUUUUGACACCUUAAAGAAACCGAGAGAGUUAAUCAAAGGAGGUACAGCUCCUUUGAUACAAGACACAACUUUAAACAGGAGGGUAAAGAUCAUAAUUACCUAAAGGAAAAAUGUUCCGGUGGGCCUAAAAGCAGCCAUCCCAACAGAAAGCGUUAAAGCUCGAACAUACCUUAAACCCUCUUCAUCCUGAUAAUACAAUCUUAACCCCCUAAUUUUACCAGGCCACCCCAUGUUACCAUGGGGGCGACUAUGCUAAUAUGAGUAAUAAGAGAGUACCAACCUCUCUCCCCGCACAAGUGUAUAUCGGAACGGACCCGCCGCCGAAACUUAACGGCCCCAAACAAAGAGGGCAUUGAACAACACACCAAACAACCAGAAAAACAUCCAAUAAUUUACCGUUAACCCUACACUGGUGUGCCCCAAGGGAAAGACUGAAAGAAAGAGAAGGAACUCGGCAAACACAUAAAGCCUCGCCUGUUUACCAAAAACAUCGCCUCUUGCAAAACCAAUGAAUAAGAGGUCCCGCCUGCCCUGUGACUAUAAGUUUAACGGCCGCGGUAUUUUGACCGUGCGAAGGUAGCGCAAUCACUUGUCUUUUAAAUGGAGACCUGUAUGAAUGGCACAACGAGGGCUUAGCUGUCUCCUCUUUCUAGUCAAUGAAAUUGAUCUCCCCGUGCAGAAGCGGGGAUACCCUCAUAAGACGAGAAGACCCUAUGGAGCUUUAGACACCAAGACAGAUCAUGUUAAACACCCCAAAACAAAGGGCCAAACCAGAUGAACCCUGUCCUAAUGUCUUUGGUUGGGGCGACCGCGGGGAAACAUAAAACCCCCACGUGGAAUGGGAAUACCCCCUCCUAAAACUGAGAGCUCCCGCUCUAAUUAACAGAAUUUCUGACCAAUCAGAUCCGGCAACGCCGAUCAACGAACCGAGUUACCCUAGGGAUAACAGCGCAAUCCCCUUCUAGAGCCCAUAUCGACAAGGGGGUUUACGACCUCGAUGUUGGAUCAGGACAUCCUAAUGGUGCAGCCGCUAUUAAGGGUUC